rnacentral:rRNA from 1 species
AACGAACGCUGGCGGCAUGCCUAACACAUGCAAGUCGAACGAGACCUUCGGGUCUAGUGGCGCACGGGUGCGUAACGCGUGGGAACCUGCCCUUAGGUUCGGAAUAACUCCCCGAAAGGGGUGCUAAUACCGGAUAAUGUCUUCGGACCAAAGAUUUAUCGCCUUUGGAUGGGCCCGCGUUGGAUUAGCUAGUUGGUAGGGUAAAAGCCUACCAAGGCGACGAUCCAUAGCUGGUAUGAGAGGAUGAUCAGCCACACUGGGACUGAGACACGGCCCAGACUCCUACGGGAGGCAGCAGUGGGGAAUAUAGGAAAAUGGGCGAAAGCCUGAUACAGCAAUGCCGCGUGAGUGAUGAAGGCCUUAGGGUUGUAAAGCUCUUUUACCCGGGAUGAUAAUGACAGUACCGGGAGAAUAAGCUCCGGCUAACUCCGUG